GUUCCAGACUCCUACGGGAGGCAGCAGUGAGGAAUAUUGGUCAAUGGGCGGAAGCCUGAACCAGCCAAGUCGCGUGAGGGAAGAAGGCCCUGCGGGUCGCAGACCUCUUUGGACGGGGAGCAAGGCCGCCGACGUGUCGGCGGAAGGAGAGUACCCGUAGAACAAGCACCGGCUAACUACGUGCCAGCAGCCGCGGUAAUACGUAGGUGGCAAGCGUUGUCCGGAUUUACUGGGUGUAAAGGGCGUGCAGCCGGGCUGACAAGUCAGAUGUGAAAUCCCGCGGCUCAACCGCGGAACUGCAUUUGAAACUGUCAGUCUUGAGUACCGGAGAGGUCAUCGGAAUUCCUUGUGUAGCGGUGAAAUGCGUAGAUAUAAGGAAGAACACCAGUGGCGAAGGCGGCCUGCUGGGCUUUUACUGACGCUGAGGCUCGAAAGUGUGGGGAGCAAACAGGAUUAGAUACCCCGGUAGAA
rnacentral:rRNA from 1 species